GCCAGGCAUGGUGGUGCAUACCUGUAGUCCCAGCUACUCGGGAGGCUGAGGCAGGAGAAUCACUUGAAUCCAGGAGGCAGAGGCUGCAGUGAGCUGAGACUGUGCCACUGCACUCCAGCCUGGGUGACAGAGUGAGACUCUGUCUCAA
ensembl:misc_RNA Metazoa_SRP Metazoan signal recognition particle RNA